UGAGGAAUAUUGGUCAAUGGACGCAAGUCUGAACCAGCCAAGUCGCGUGCAGGAAUAAGGCCCUAUGGGUCGCAGACUGCUUUUGCAUGAGAAUAAAAAAGUGGGACGAGUCCCACUCUGUAGGUAUCAUGCGAAUAAGGAUCGGCUAACUCCGUGCCAGCAGCCGCGGUAAUACGGAGGAUCCGAGCGUUAUCCGGAUUCAUUGGGUUUAAAGGGUGCGCAGGCGGGUCUGUAAGCCCGUGGUGAAAGCCUGGUGCUCAACGCCAGAGGUGCCGCGGGAACUGCAGGUCUUGAGUCGUGACGAGGGCGGCGGAAUGCGAAGUGUAGCGGUGAAAUGCAUAGAUAUCACGCAGAACCCGAUCGCGAAGGCAGCCUGCCAGGCCGUGACUGACACUGAUGCA
rnacentral:rRNA from 1 species